rnacentral:rRNA from 1 species
GGGGGAUAUUGCACAAUGGAGGAAACUCUGAUGCAGCAACGCCGCGUGAGGGAAGACGGUUUUCGGAUUGUAAACCUCUGUCCUCAGGGACGAUAAUGACGGUACCUGAGGAGGAAGCUCCGGCUAACUACGUGCCAGCAGCCGCGGUAAUACGUAGGGAGCAAGCGUUGUCCGGAUUUACUGGGUGUAAAGGGUGCGUAGGCGGCUCUGCAAGUCAGGCGUGAAAACUAUGGGCUUAACCCAUAGACUGCGUUUUAAACUGUGGGGCUUGAGUGAAGUAGAGGUAGGCGGAAUUCCCUGUGUAGCGGUGAAAUGCGUAGAGAUCGGGAGGAACACCAGUGGCGAAGGCGGCCUGCUGGGCCUUAACUGACGCUGAGGCACGAAAGCAUGGGUAGCAAAC